CCUACGGGUGGCAGCAGUGAGGGAUAUUGGUCAAUGGGGGAAACCCUGAACCAGCAACGCCGCGUGAGGGAAGACGGUUUUCGGAUUGUAAACCUCUGUCCGCUGGGAAGAUAAUGACGGUAGCCGAGGAGGAAGCUCCGGCUAACUACGUGCCAGCAGCCGCGGUAAUACGUAGGGAGCAAGCGUUGUCCGGAUUUACUGGGUGUAAAGGGUGCGUAGGCGGCUUUGCAAGUCAGGAGGGAAAUCCAUGGGCUUAACCCAUGAACUGCUUUUGAAACUGCAGAGCUUGAGUGGAGGAGAGGUAGGCGGAAUGCGUGGUGUAGCGGUGAAAUGCGUAGAGAUCAGGAGGAACACCAGUGGCGAAGGCGGCCUACUGGGCUCUAACUGACGCUGAGGCACGAAAGCGUGGGUAGCAAACAGGAUUAGAUACCCGUGUAGUC
rnacentral:rRNA from 1 species